GGCUGCAUAGUGUAGGGGCUAUCACAUCAGAUUCAGAUUCUGGGGACCCCGGUUCGAUUCCGAGUGUGGCCU